UCGGGUUGUAAAGCAUUUUUGUCCGGAAAGAAAAUUUCUGCCCUAAUACGGUGGGAGGAUGACGGUACCGGAAGAAUAAGCACCGGCAACUACGUGCCAGCAGCCGCGGUAAUACGUAGGGUGCGAGCGUUAAUCGGAAUUACUGGGCGUAAAGCGUGCGCAGGCGGUUCGUUAAGACAGAUGUGAAAUCCCCGGGCUUAACCUGGGAACUGCAUUUGUGACUGGCGAGCUAGAGUAUGGCAGAGGGGGGUAGAAUUCCACGUGUAGCAGUGAAAUGCGUAGAGAUGUGGAGGAAUACCGAUGGCGAAGGCAGCCCCCUGGGCCAAUACUGACGCUCAUGCACGAAAGCGUGGGGAGCAAACAGGAUUAGAUACCCUGGUAGUCCACGCCCUAAACGAUGUCAACUAGUUGUUGGGUCUUCAUUGACUUAGUAACGUAGCUAACGCGUGAAGUUGACCGCCUGGGGAGUACGGUCGCAAGAUUAAAACUCAAAGGAAUUGACGGGGACCCGCACAAGCGGUGGAUGAUGUGGAUUAAUUCGAUGCAACGCGAAAAACCUUACCUACCCUUGACAUGGUCGGAACCCUGCUG
rnacentral:rRNA from 1 species